GGGGCUGUUCUGGUUUUGACAGCGGGUAGAAGAGGUAUGUAAGCACGCAGUGCGUUGUCGGAUAGCACUUUAAUCAUAGACGGCGAACAAUUAACUGGCGAAGAAUCUUACGCUCUCGCUGCUUGAUCGAAGUCAUAGUACAUCAGGCUUAAUUCCGACCACAGGUGUCGGAACGAGACAUCUCUCGAAUGCCAUUCCCUGAAGCGGUUCGGUAAAGAGGUGUGGGUAAAAUCGGGGAUAGUCGGCGGUGGCUGCGCAUCGACGGCGAACGUUUAGCAGAUAAGGCGACGGUUGGUGGCUUCGGUCUUGCCGCCGCACGAAAACAAAGGCGAAGAUAAGCGUGUAGAAAGCAUAUUGCUUCCUCGUUUGGACACGGGUUCGACUCCCGCCAGCUCCACU
rnacentral:tmRNA from 1 species